rnacentral:rRNA from 1 species
UACGGGGGGAGCAAGCGUUGUUCGGAUUUACUGGGCGUAAAGGGCGCGUAGGCGGCCACCGCAAGUCGACUGUGAAAUCUCCGGGCUUAACCCGGAAAGGUCAGCCGAUACUGCGGGGCUAGAGUGCAGAAGGGGCAACUGGAAUUCUCGGUGUAGCGGUGAAAUGCGUAGAUAUCGAGAGGAACACCUGCGGCGAAGGCGGCAUCCUGGACCAAUAUUGACGCUGAGGAGCGAAAGCCAGGGGAGCAAACGGG